rnacentral:rRNA from 1 species
CCUACGGGAGGCAGCAGUGAGGAAUAUUGGUCAAUGGCCGAGAGGCUGAACCAGCCAAGUCGCGUGAGGGAAGAAUGUCCUAUGGAUUGUAAACCUCUUUUGUCAGGGAGCAAAGUCACCCACGUGUGGGUGUUGGAGAGUACCUGAAGAAAAAGCAUCGGCUAACUCCGUGCCAGCAGCCGCGGUAAUACGUAGGGGGCAAGCGUUAUCCGGAUUUACUGGGUGUAAAGGGGGCGCAGACGGCGAUGCAAGCCAGGAGUGAAAGCCCGGGGCCCAACCCCGGGACUGCUCUUGGAACUGCGUGGCUGGAGUGCAGGAGGGGCAGGCGGAAUUCCUGGUGUAGCGGUGAAAUGCGUAGAUAUCAGGAGGAACACCGGUGGCGAAGGCGGCCUGCUGGACUGCAACUGACGUUGAGGCCCGAAAGCGUGGGGAGCAAACAGGAUUAGAUACCCCUGUAGUC